GCCUAAUACAUGCAAGUCGAGGGGCAUCACGGGUAGCAAUAUCUGGUGGCGACCGGCGCACGGGUGCGUAACACGUAUACAAUCUGCCUUCUACAGAGGGAUAGCCCGGAGAAAUUCGGAUUAAUACCUCAUAAUAAAUGAAUUGGCAUCAAUUUAUUUUGAAAGUUCCGACGGUAGAAGAUGAGUAUGCGUCUGAUUAGCUAGUUGGUGAGGUAAAGGCUCACCAAGGCGACGAUCAGUAGGGGAUCUGAGAGGACUACCCCCCACACUGGUACUGAGACACGGACCAGACUCCUACGGGAGGCAGCAGUAAGGAAUAUUGGACAAUGGAGGCAACUCUGAUCCAGCCAUGCCGCGUGCAGGAUGACUGCCCUAUGGGUUGUAAACUGCUUUUGUACGGGAGAAAACCCUUUCACGUGUGAAAGGUUGAUAGUACCGUAAGAAUAAGGAUCGGCUAACUUCGUGCCAGCAGCCGCGGUAAGACGAAGGAUCCAAGCGUUAUCCGGAUUCAUUGGGUUUAAAGGGUGCGUAGGCGGAUAGAUAAGUCAGUGGUGAAAGCCGGUCGCUCAACGAUCGAAUUGCCAUUGAUACUGUUUAUCUAGAAUAUAGAUGAUGUUGGCGGAAUAUGACAUGUAGCGGUGAAAUGCAUAGAUAUGUCAUAGAACACCUAUUGCGAAGGCAGCUGACAAAACUAUAAUUGACGCUGAUGCACGAAAGUGCGGGGAUCAAACAGGAUUAGAUACCCUGGUAGUCCGCACAGUAAACGAUGAUAACUAGAUGUUUGCGAUAUACCGUAAGCGUCCAAGCGAAAGCGAUAAGUUAUCCACCUGGGGAGUACGCCCGCAAGGGUGAAACUCAAAGGAAUUGACGG
rnacentral:rRNA from 1 species